rnacentral:lncRNA from 1 species
UCCAUUACACAUUUAAUAGGUUCGGUUUGCGCGGGUUGAAUACUUGAAUGUGGACACUGAUAUACACAGGAUCAAAUACUUGGCAUUCAACCUACAGCGAGACCUCUUCCUGGUGGAAUACUACAGUGAAUGGUCAAACCAGGAUAAUCUGCCAUGCAACUUUCUGGAGAAGCUUCUUGAGUGCAGGCUGAGUGAUUGUGAACGUUUAUGUCCUGCUACUACUCUUAGUAGUGUCACUGGAAUUCUCAUUGUCGACCAUACUCAUGGAAGAAGCAGUCAAAGAGGCAAAGCUUGUCAAACUAAGGGAAGCUCCAGACGGGUGGUGGAAGAAGCUAGUGAAUUAAUUAUGGCAUCUAUCUACGAGAAUACAAGCAAUGUAAUUGGACACAAAGUUCAAGCAAAAAGCCAGUCAAGAUAUGUUUUAUCAUGCUUGUAUCAUACCGACGAAUAAUAAGAGUCGCAACACACGAAUCGUCGCCAACACGUAGUUGCUCCUUCACCUUGUAUAAUAAUAGUCCUAUCAGCACAACCAUUGACCAAACAGUCACAAUCACAGCAACAAAAGAUACCAACAUCAAUUUCACAAGUUUAAUUCAAAAAGCAGAGAAAUUCUGCAGCAAGAUAAAGCACAGUAAAGUCUAUUGUGAUCAAAAGCAGGGACUCUCUGGUUUCAGAUGAACAACAAGCAGAGCAGGCUACCCAUCUACAUAUAUGACAGCAUGAAUGAUGAGUCUGAUCAGCGCCCUCUAUGAUAGUAUCAGGAAUGCAGUUGAAACAUUGAAUAGUAACAGUAAAGAGUGCAUAUAGUGGUCCCAUGAUUUCCAAGUUUAAGGAUCAUAAUGAUUUCUACUGGUAUGUAAUAUGAAAGGAAUGGUCUUCGAUGGAGAUUGUGGAUACAGGAAACAAGAAGAACAAUUGAGACAGUGACCUCCUUCUGAGCAUCAAUAAUUGUUUGGGAACUGUACUCAUCUUUAUCAAAUUUGGACUCAAAGAAAUCGAAUUUUACUAUACAAGAGACAGUUGAGAUGCAUUUAUGCCACUAAAUCCACCUAGUAGCCCUCAGCAAGGCAGAAGCCCUAUUGGGUCAUACAGAGACUUAGCAGAGGAGCCAUGAUCACACCCGC